CAAGAAGAACCUACUGUUGAACUCUUCAGAGAAUACUUCUAUUUGAACCGCCGGAAUCAGUGCACCAACGGUCCUAGCUUGGAACUUGGUGGAAUUUCGAUUCAACGCCGACAGGGCGCUGUCUUUCCCUUAGUAGUCUUACCAAGCCAUCCCAAGGAUUGGAACCAAACUUGGUUUUACUGCAAAGACACUUCGCCAGAUGAUGAGAAGCCAUUGCCGGGUUAUCGUGUGGAGCAUCUUGACUCCAAGUUUGUGCUCCCUGACAAGCUGACUGCCGCUGAACGCAAGAAGCUCAUACCGUCCAUCAAAAGGAUUCAAGCUUUAUUGGGAAACGGCCUAACUGGAGUUGACCUGAUCCGUUGCUGGAUCGCAUGGUGUGUCAUCCCUCUGAGCCACAGAUCCAGAUUGAUGUAUAAAUAUGGCGGAGGCCCAGAUGACCCUCUGCGUCAUAGUUCUGUACAACUGACUGAAGAGGACAUUGUUGCAAUGUCAACCAUCCUCGUGAACGGAAAAUACGAUGACUGCAGUAAGGUUGGAUUAAAUCCUUUCUGCAAACUUAACCCGGCACCAGAGGUAAACCCCCUUGACCUCCUUUUUCUUUAG
rnacentral:rRNA from 1 species